GACGAACGCUGGCGGCGUGCCUAAUACAUGCAAGUAGAACGCACAGUUUAUACCGUAGCUUGCUACACCAUAGACUGUGAGUUGCGAACGGGUGAGUAACGCGUAGGUAACCUGCCUGGUAGCGGGGGAUAACUAUUGGAAACGAUAGCUAAUACCGCAUAAUAUUAAUUAUUGCAUGAUAAUUGAUUGAAAGAUGCAACUGCAUCACUACCAGAUGGACCUGCGUUGUAUUAGCUAGUAGGCGAGGUAACGGCUCACCUAGGCGACGAUACAUAGCCGACCUGAGAGGGUGAUCGGCCACACUGGGACUGAGACACGGCCCAGACUCCUACGGGAGGCAGCAGUAGGGAAUCUUCGGCAAUGGACGAAAGUCUGACCGAGCAACGCCGCGUGAGUGAAGAAGGUUUUCGGAUCGUAAAGCUCUGUUGUAAGAGAAGAACGGGUGUGAGAGUGGAAAGUUCACACUGUGACGGUAUCUUACCAGAAAGGGACGGCUAACUACGUG
rnacentral:rRNA from 1 species